rnacentral:piRNA from 1 species
UAAAUAAAUACCGUAUUAGCA